UUAAGCGACUAAGCGUACACGGUGGAUGCCCUGGCAGUCAGAGGCGAUGAAGGGCGUGCUAAUCUGCGAUAAGCGCCGGUAAGGUGAUAUGAACCGUUAUAACCGGCGAUACCCGAAUGGGGAAACCCAGUGUGACUCGUCACACUAUCAUUAACUGAAUCCAUAGGUUAAUGAGGCGAACCGGGGGAACUGAAACAUCUAAGUACCCCGAGGAAAAGAAAUCAACCGAGAUUCCCCCAGUAGCGGCGAGCGAACGGGGAGGAGCCCAGAGCCUGAAUCAGCAUGUGUGUUAGUGGAAGCGUCUGGAAAGGCGCGCGAUACAGGGUGACAGCCCCGUACACAAAAGCGCAUGUGCUGUGAGCUCGAUGAGUAGGGCGGGACACGUGGUAUCCUGUCUGAAUAUGGGGGGACCAUCCUCCAAGGCUAAAUACUCCUGACUGACCGAUAGUGAACCAGUACCGUGAGGGAAAGGCGAAAAGAACCCCGGCGAGGGGAGUGAAAAAGAACCUGAAACCGUGUACGUACAAGCAGUGGGAGCACCCUUUGGGGUGUGACUGCGUACCUUUUGUAUAAUGGGUCAGCGACUUAUAUUCUGUAGCAAGGUUAACCGAAUAGGGGAGCCGGAGGGAAACCGAGUCUUAAUUGGGCGUUAAGUUGCAGGGUAUAGACCCGAAACCCGGUGAUCUAGCCAUGGGCAGGUUGAAGGUUGGGUAACACUAACUGGAGGACCGAACCGACUAAUGUUGAAAAAUUAGCGGAUGACCUGUGGCUGGGGGUGAAAGGCCAAUCAAACCGGGAGAUAGCUGGUUCUCCCCGAAAGCUAUUUAGGUAGCGCCUCGUGAAUUCAUCUCCGGGGGUAGAGCACUGUUUCGGCUAGGGGGCCAUCCCGGCUUACCAACCCGAUGCAAACUGCGAAUACCGGAGAAUGUUAUCACGGGAGACACACGGCGGGUGCUAACGUCCGUCGUGAAGAGGGAAACAACCCAGACCGCCAGCUAAGGUCCCAAAGUCAUGGUUAAGUGGGAAACGAUGUGGGAAGGCCCAGACAGCCAGGAUGUUGGCUUAGAAGCAGCCAUCAUUUAAAGAAAGCGUAAUAGCUCACUGGUCGAGUCGGCCUGCGCGGAAGAUGUAACGGGGCUAAACCAUGCACCGAAGCUGCGGCAGCGACGCUGAUGCGUUGUUGGGUAGGGGAGCGUUCUGUAAGCCUGCGAAGGUGGCCUGUGAGGGUUGCUGGAGGUAUCAGAAGUGCGAAUGCUGACAUAAGUAACGAUAAAGCGGGUGAAAAGCCCGCUCGCCGGAAGACCAAGGGUUCCUGUCCAACGUUAAUCGGGGCAGGGUGAGUCGACCCCUAAGGCGAGGCCGAAAGGCGUAGUCGAUGGGAAACGGGUUAAUAUUCCCGUACUUGGUGUUACUGCGAAGGGGGGACGGAGAAGGCUAUGUUGGCCGGGCGACGGUUGUCCCGGUUUAAGCGUGUAGGCUGGUUUUCCAGGCAAAUCCGGAAAAUCAAGGCUGAGGCGUGACGACGAGGCACUACGGUGCUGAAGCAACAAAUGCCCUGCUUCCAGGAAAAGCCUCUAAGCAUCAGGUAACAUCAAAUCGUACCCCAAACCGACACAGGUGGUCAGGUAGAGAAUACCAAGGCGCUUGAGAGAACUCGGGUGAAGGAACUAGGCAAAAUGGUGCCGUAACUUCGGGAGAAGGCACGCUGACAUGUAGGUGAAGUGAUUUACUCAUGGAGCUGAAGUCAGUCGAAGAUACCAGCUGGCUGCAACUGUUUAUUAAAAACACAGCACUGUGCAAACACGAAAGUGGACGUAUACGGUGUGACGCCUGCCCGGUGCCGGAAGGUUAAUUGAUGGGGUCAGCGCAAGCGAAGCUCCUGAUCGAAGCCCCGGUAAACGGCGGCCGUAACUAUAACGGUCCUAAGGUAGCGAAAUUCCUUGUCGGGUAAGUUCCGACCUGCACGAAUGGCGUAAUGAUGGCCAGGCUGUCUCCACCCGAGACUCAGUGAAAUUGAACUCGCUGUGAAGAUGCAGUGUACCCGCGGCAAGACGGAAAGACCCCGUGAACCUUUACUAUAGCUUGACACUGAACAUUGAGCCUUGAUGUGUAGGAUAGGUGGGAGGCUUUGAAGCGUGGACGCCAGUCUGCGUGGAGCCGACCUUGAAAUACCACCCUUUAAUGUUUGAUGUUCUAACGUGGACCCGUUACCCGGGUUGCGGACAGUGUCUGGUGGGUAGUUUGACUGGGGCGGUCUCCUCCUAAAGAGUAACGGAGGAGCACGAAGGUUGGCUAAUCCUGGUCGGACAUCAGGAGGUUAGUGCAAUGGCAUAAGCCAGCUUGACUGCGAGCGUGACGGCGCGAGCAGGUGCGAAAGCAGGUCAUAGUGAUCCGGUGGUUCUGAAUGGAAGGGCCAUCGCUCAACGGAUAAAAGGUACUCCGGGGAUAACAGGCUGAUACCGCCCAAGAGUUCAUAUCGACGGCGGUGUUUGGCACCUCGAUGUCGGCUCAUCACAUCCUGGGGCUGAAGUAGGUCCCAAGGGUAUGGCUGUUCGCCAUUUAAAGUGGUACGCGAGCUGGGUUUAGAACGUCGUGAGACAGUUCGGUCCCUAUCUGCCGUGGGCGCUGGAGAACUGAGGGGGGCUGCUCCUAGUACGAGAGGACCGGAGUGGACGCAUCACUGGUGUUCGGGUUGUCAUGCCAAUGGCACUGCCCGGUAGCUAAAUGCGGAAGAGAUAAGUGCUGAAAGCAUCUAAGCACGAAACUUGCCCCGAGAUGAGUUCUCCCUGAGACUUUAGGUCUCCUGAAGGAACGUUGAAGACGACGACGUUGAUAGGCCGGGUGUGUAAGCGCAGCGAUGCGUUGAGCUAACCGGUACUAAUGAACCGUGAGGCUUAACCUU
rnacentral:rRNA from 1 species